rnacentral:rRNA from 1 species
AUUGAACGCUGGCGGCAGGCCUAACACAUGCAAGUCGAGCGGUAGCACAGAGAGCUUGCUCUCGGGUGACGAGCGGCGGACGGGUGAGUAAUGUCUGGGAAACUGCCUGAUGGAGGGGGAUAACUACUGGAAACGGUAGCUAAUACCGCAUAACGUCGCAAGACCAAAGAGGGGGACCUUCGGGCCUCUUGCCCUCAGAGGUGCCCAGAUGGGAUUAGCUAGUAGGUGGGGUAACGGCUCACCUAGGCGACGAUCCCUAGCUGGUCUGAGAGGAUGACCAGCCACACUGGAACUGAGACACGGUCCAGACUCCUACGGGAGGCAGCAGUGGGGAAUAUUGCACAAUGGGCGCAAGCCUGAUGCAGCCAUGCCGCGUGUAUGAAGAAGGCCUUCGGGUUGUAAAGUACUUUCAGCGGGGAGGAAGGUGCUGAGGUUAAUAACCUCAGCAAUUGACGUUACCCGCAGAAGAAGCACCGGCUAACUCCGUGCCAGCCGCCGCGGUAAUAC